UACAGAGGGGGCAAGCGUUGUUCGGAAUUACUGGGCGUAAAGGGCGCGUAGGCGGCCUUCUAAGUCGAACGUGAAAUCCCCGGGCUCAACCCGGGAACUGCGUCCGAUACUGGAAGGCUUGAAUCCGGGAGAGGGAUGCGGAAUUCCAGGUGUAGCGGUGAAAUGCGUAGAUAUCUGGAGGAACACCGGUGGCGAAGGCGCAUCCUGGACCGGCAUGACGCUGAGGCGCGAAAGCCAGGGGAGCAAACGGGAUUAAGAUGACCCGUG
rnacentral:rRNA from 1 species